rnacentral:rRNA from 1 species
CACGUAGGGUGCGAGCGUUGUCCGGAAUUAUUGGGCGUAAAGAGCUCGUAGGCGGUGUGUCGCGUCGGCCGUGAAAACCUGCAGCUUAACUGUGGGCUUGCGGUCGAUACGGGCAUCACUGGAGUUCGGCAGGGGAGACUGGAAUUCCUGGUGUAGCGGUGAAAUGCGCAGAUAUCAGGAAGAACACCAAUGGCGGAAGGCAGCUCUCUGGGACGGUACUGACGACUGGAGACGCGGAAAGCGAUGGGGAGCGAACAGG